rnacentral:rRNA from 1 species
AUUGAACGCUGGCGGCAGGCCUAACACAUGCAAGUCGAGCGAGCGGCGGACGGGUGAGUAAUGUCUGGGAAACUGCCUGAUGGAGGGGGAUAACUACUGGAAACGGUAGCUAAUACCGCAUACCAUCAGAUGUGCCCAGGUGGGAUUAGCUAGUAGGUGGGGUAACGGCUCACCUAGGCGACGAUCCCUAGCUGGUCUGAGAGGAUGACCAGCCAAACUGGAACUGAGGCACGGUCCAGACUACUUCGGGAGGGAGCAGUGGGGAAUAUUGGACAAAUGGGGGAACACCGGUCCAGGCAUGGCGGGUGUGUUAAGAAGGCCUUAUGGUUGUAAAGAACUUGAAGCGAGGAGGCGUUACCCGCAGAAUAAGCACCGGCUAACUCUGUGCCAGCAGCCGCGGUAAUAC